rnacentral:snRNA from 1 species
GUCUUUACCUGACAGGGGAGACACAAUCAUCACGUAGGUGGUUUUCCCAGGGCGAGCCUUAUCCAUUGCACUCCGGAUGUGCUGAAACCUGCCAUUUCCCCAAAUGUGGGAAAUUCCACUGCAUAAUUUGUGGUGUGGGGAAACCGAGUUUAGGCUCUCCA